rnacentral:lncRNA from 1 species
ACGUGAAUGUGUAGCUAAGGAACAAAAAUCUGGAGACUGAGUUUUCAUUUUCCGGGUGUUUUGUAGACUUCACUGUUGCUCUGUUGUUUCUGUGGGGUUUUUUCUUUUGGUGAUUGAUGUGCCCUCCCUUCUAUGUUUCCUUCCUGAUGCUUUCCUAACCUGGGGCGCCAGGCAGCCUUGCUCCCCCCAGGCUCCUUGGUUCAGGCCAGCAUCUGGGGGCCUGCCCAUGUCUAUUUGGGAGCAGUGAACAGGGGUGCAUGGAUAGGGGUGCACAGUGAGCCUCACCGCAAGUGAGCUCAGGGUUCUGGCUCUACAUU